AGGGCUUUAUCUUAAUUUAAAGAGUCUGAGUUGCAUUCAGAAAAUGUGGAUUAGUAAUCUGCAAGUCCUA
rnacentral:tRNA from 1 species